CCCCUCUCAGGGUCACACCUGGAUAGUUUCCAGUACUCUACCAGUCUUGACUACAGGAGGGAGAGUCAGUCAGAGGAAUAUCCAUUCCAUUCCUAGUUUGCCCAGUGACUAGUGAGUGGAGGGCAAUCUGCUAAAAGU